UUCGUAGGCGGUGCGGCAAGUCGGGAGUGAAAUCCCUGGGCUUAACCCAGGGGCUGCUUCCGAAACUGCUGUGCUGGAGUGUGGGAGAGGCGCGUGGAAUUGCAGGUGUAGCGGUGAAAUGCGUAGAUAUCUGCAGGAACACCCGUGGCGAAAGCGGCGCGCUGGACCACAACUGACGCUGAGGAACGAAAGCUAGGGGAGCAAACAGGAUUAGAUACCCUGGUAGUCCUAGCCCUAAACGAUCAGGACUUGGGGUGGCUCCCGUUCGGAAGUCGUCCCGGAGCUAACGCGUUAAGUCCUGCACCUGGGGAGUACGGUCGCAAGACUGAA
rnacentral:rRNA from 1 species